rnacentral:snRNA from 1 species
GUGCUCACUUUGGCAGCAUAUAUACUAAAAUUGGAAUGAUACAGAUAAGAUUAGCAAGGCUAAGAUUAGACAGGUAAAUUCGUGAAGCAUUUCAUUAUUAC